rnacentral:rRNA from 1 species
GUGUCAGCAGCCGCGGUAAUACGUAGGGGGCGAGCGUUGUCCGGAAUCACUGGGCGUAAAGCGCGCGUAGGCGGCUUGGUAAGUCGGUUGUGGAAGCCCCGGGCUCAACCCGGGAAUGGCGACCGAAACUGCCGGGCUAGAGUGCGGCAGAGGGUGCUGGAAUUCCCGGUGUAGCGGUGAAUGCAUAGAUAUCGGGAGGAACACCGGUGGCGAAGGCGGGCACCUGGGCCGUGACUGACGCUGAGGCGCGAAAGCUAGGGGAGCAAACCGGAUUAGAUACCCGGGUAGUCCUGGCCGUAAACGAUGGAUGCUAGAUGUGGGCGGGGAGACCCGUCCGUGUCGCAAGCUAACGCGUUAAGCAUCCCGCCUGGGGAGUACGGCCGCAAGGUUGAAACUUAAAGGAAUUGACGGGG